GUUCAAUGCUGCCAACUUACUAGAACAGAAAUGGCAGGCAUUUUAAAAGUUGCAUUCUUUAUGGGAUACCCUUUAUGUUAUAUGCCCCACACUAUAGCUAAAUUGUUUACGUUAGAUCUAAGGCAUAGCACCAUGCUAGUGAAACAUUUUUGGGAGAUUUAUCAUGAAUUCUUGGAAAUCUUAUUAAUAAGAUCUUCAUGUUUUUCCACUUUUCAGAAUUUCAAAUUUGUUUCUACUAAAUAUUUAUUUUCAUAAUUAUUAACUUUUCUAAGAAUCUUUGCAUCAUCCUAUUUAAUAUUUAUAUCAUUUUUAUAAGCCGUCUU
rnacentral:lncRNA from 1 species